rnacentral:rRNA from 1 species
GAAUAUUGGGCAUGGAGGCAACUCUGACCAGCCAUGCCGCGUGCAGGAAGACUGCCCUAUGGGUGUAAACUGCUUUUAUAAGGAAGAAACUUAUCCACGUGUGGAUAACUGACGGUACUGAAGAAUAAGGACCGGCUACUCCGUGCCAGCAGCCGCGGUAAUACGGAGGGUCCAAGCUUAUCCGGAAUCAUUGGUUUAAAGGGUCCGUAGGCGGGCAAUUAAGUCAGAGGUGAAUCCCACAGCUCAACUGUGAACUGCCUUUGAUACUG